CAGGGCGGGUACCUUGGACACAAGCCUAGAGCAGCUGCUGCUGCCACUCAGAUUCCGCCAGCUUUCGUGAGCCUGGAACCACAGUUGCCAUGUGUAUUGGUGGUGAUUCUUCCUUAAAUGCAUCAGAAACUGACUCGGGGCAAUUUAAGCUGCACAGGCAUUUAUCAGGUGGACACUGGGGGCUCAUGCAAUCACCAGCCUUGGAAGAUGGAAAGGAGCAAAGUGGGGCUGCAGGGCAGCAUUUCAGGGGGGUCACUGGAGAGCCCUGGAGACUGGUGCACACCGAGCUGGACAGCCUUAGACUGGAUUCUUGCCCCUCUCCUCUGUCCCAGCAACCUUGGCUUCUUCAGCUAUGAGCUGGGGAGGCUCUGAGUGUCUCCAUCUCAUAAGGCUGCAGACUGAACAUGAAUUACAAAAAAAACUUUUCCUGAAGGCUGGCAUUCCAAGGUGGAAUUUUGAUCCUGAACCACAACAAAAACUCCAAAUGGGGUGUAACAGUGCAGGGGACUUUUCUAUUGUUUCAGCACUGUCAUCGCUAACCCUGCUUCAUGGAAGGUGACGCCAGAGGAGUCACCUACCCAGGGUAACCCAGUGAGAAGGAGGCAGAGUCAGCAUGUACACCCAGAUUCCAUUUGCUUCCAAGUUCUCCUGAGGGGGGCUGAGAAACUUGGGGACAAUAUGUUGAGGGCUCAGGUGGGAACCCUGUUAUUUAUUUUUUAAGAUUUCAUUUAUUUAUAGACAGAGGGGAAG